GAUGAACGCUGGCGGCGUGCCUAAUACAUGCAAGUCGAGCGAACGGACGAGAAGCUUGCUUCUCUGAUGUUAGCGGCGGACGGGUGAGUAACACGUGGAUAACCUACCUAUAAGACUGGGAUAACUUCGGGAAACCGUAGCUAAUACCGGAUAAUAUUUUGAACCGCAUGGUUCAAAAGUGAAAGACGGUCUUGCUGUCACUUAUAGAUGGAUCCGCGCUGCAUUAGCUAGUUGGUAAGGUAACGGCUUACCAAGGCAACGAUGCAUAGCCGACCGGAGAGGGUGAUCGGCCACACGGGAGCUGAGACACGGUCCAGGCUCCUACGGGAGGCAGCAGUAGGGAAUCGUCCGCAGUGGGCGGAAACCUGACGGAGCAACGCCACGUGAGAUGUGGAGGUGUUCGGAGCGUAAAACUCUGUUAUUAGGUAAGAACAUAUUUGUAAGUAACUGUGCGCAUCUUGACGGUACCUAAUCAGAAAGCCACGGCUAACUACGUG
rnacentral:rRNA from 1 species